UGAGCAAUCUGCCCUUCUCAUCGGAAUAAGCGUUGGAAACGACGUCUAAUGCCGAAUACGACCUCCUUUCGCAUGAUCGGAGGUGGAAAGCUCCGGCGGUGAAGGAUGAGCUCGCGGCCUAUCAGCUUGUUGGUGAGGUAAUAGCUCACCAAGGCGAUGACGGGUAGCUGGCCUGAGAGGGUGACCGGCCACACUGGGACUGAGACACGGCCCAGAUCCUACGGG
rnacentral:rRNA from 1 species